rnacentral:lncRNA from 1 species
CUGUAGCAUGUCAUGACUUCAGCAGGGUGACAAAUGACAAUCAAACUCCAAUGAAGACUAUAGUUUAUGGGAAUGAAGAUAUAAUCCUUUUCAAAAAGGUUCACUUUUCUUGUCCAAUUGCUUACACGCUGAAAUGCUGCUUUACCAUCACAAGCAAUUGAACGAUUAUCUGUGCUUAAAUCAACAAGCUUAGGAAAGAAAAAGCAAUUGAAAAAGUGAAACCUCUUCUGUUUAUCACUUGGGAGUUUAUUAUUUAUCAAAUACUUUAUAUAAAAGUCAAUGAUAUUAUCAUUAAGGCAUUUCUCAGGCUGUAAAAGCUCAAUAUCGCUCUUCCUGAUGUAAAUAGCAUCAGGGUCCCCCUUUGGAUAACAAAUUGCCUUUUCCAUGUCAUUGCUUUUAAAUGCAGCAGAAUCAUGCUCCACAUCUUCUGAGGGAUUGAAGUUGAAGUAGAAAUCAAAGAAAAUGUUAGACUUGAUUUUUUUAUUUUGUUACGAGGGAAGAAAGAAAUAAAAUAUAAGUAACUACUGUCUAACACAAGUAACACUGCACCUAAAGAAUCUUGAUUGUGCACCUAGUUGGUAAUAUUAGUAACUGACUUUUUUUUAUGCUAACUUAUUUUGAAGGUCCCUAUGAGGAUCGUUUUUUUAUAAUUAUGUGGUACUUCUACUAUUAUAUGUAUUGUGUUCUUCUGUUAAAGAAUCGUUAUAUUAUCCUUUUCAAUCAAAUGAAGUUAUACAUUAGAUAAAAAUAUAAAAAUAUAAAAAUUAAACACCAAGAAGAUUCAUAAAUAUAAAUUUAAACUUUAAGGUUUAAGAUUAUCCAAACAUAAAAAAAAAUGCAGUCACCAUUUGUAAACUUCAACAAAAUCAAGAAAAAAAUGUAAAAUAUUGAAUAUUUGAAUUAAAAAAAAAACAGAAAUUUAUCUAAAGUUUAAGAAAGCAUUAUAUAAAAUUAAAGGUGGCAACUUUCAUUGCUAUCUCAAAAAAUGUUAAGCAUAUUACUUACCUUGUAAUUGAUUCCGUGUAAUUGAACCGGAAGCAGGAUAGUGGGGGCAUUUUCUAAUAUUUUUUCCUCCACCAAUGAUAUGCUCUUUAAUUCUUGUAGCACCUCCAUGGAACUCCCCUUCACAAUGGUUGCACUUCCACAUGUCACCUAUUUUUUCAACUUCAUUCCAGUAAUUACUUUUGGGCCGACCUCCCCUUUUUCUUUUUCUUUUACUGCUACUAGCCCCAUUCAUGAUUUAUUCCCUAAACACAACAAUAAUUUUAAUAUAGGCCUAUCUUUAAACUAGAUAAAUAUAUAUAAUAAGUGAAAGAAAAUCUCAGAAUAAUUAGAGAAUAAAAAAGGAUUACCGAAUGAUGGCUUCCCUGGUAGUUGUGGAAACACAAAGUUUUAUGAAUAAAUUUGAGAACUACAAAGAAACAGAGAGAGAUUAGAUCUGGAAGCUCGGCGAUAAGAACUUGGUCUUAACCUUAUCUUUGGGGAAUGGCUUGUGGUUGUUAUACAGGCUGUCGCCGUACUGUAACACGUUGUUUACAACCUUAUCUUUGGGGAAUGGCUUGUGGUUGUUAUACAGGCUGUCGCCGUACUGUAACACAUUGUUUACAAAUUACAAAGACUUUGGCUUUGCAAGAUAAACACAAUUUCAGAGUACGGAGGUGGGGUAGCUUAGUGUGGAAUGAAGACCAUUGAAUUCAGUACUCGAACUUGCUCCCUCUCUUCCUCAACUUGGGGAAUAGAUGGUCAAUUACAUAAGAUGCUCAAGGCUUAGUUAUUAUUAUUUUUUAAUCACGUUGUUUUUACUCAUAAAAUUCAAAUAAAAAAUUUUCCUAAUCAGAUUUGCCAAACAAAAAUAUUUAUAUCUAUACUAAAUUAAAGUGGAACUUGUUUGAUGUUUUUAUUUUUUAUUUUUUAAUCUUAAUGUUCCUUUUAAACUACAAUGACCGUUUAUAAACCUACUGCAAUAGCAUAUCCUCCAACGGAAUAAUUUAUUAACCAGUGAAAACAAAGCCACAAGAAUACAUAACAAAGUCCAAAACAGAGGAAGGAAAAAUUAUGAACAUAUCUAAGCCGUAUAAAUUAAAUAUAAACAAAUGAAUGCAACUAACUAAGAAUAUUAUACAAAAAAAAUGUUAUAAAAUGCAAUUCAUGCAUGAGUGGUAUAUUGAAAACUAUUAUAGAAGGCCACUUAAUCCUCUGUACAUUAUGAAUAUAGUAGUCAAUAAUAUUUCUUUUUAACGGGUCACUAUCUGUGUGAAAGCAAGCUGACUUGGCUAAUCAAGUUUUAUCUUUUUAAUUGAUGGAAUAUUUCCUCCUCAUGUCAUCAAACAUAAUAUUUGUGUAGUUGUUUUUACUUAAAUAUGGUGUAACCUUAUAUGAGGACAGAUUGGGUGAGAACAUAGUUUAUUUAAAGGCUUUGGUAAAUUAUAGGGUAUUCCUUAUAUAUAUAUCAAUGAUUUUCUUUGUCGAUAAAAAAAUUCUUAAAAAUAUUGAUUAAGAAACUUAAAAUAAAAAUAUUUGUAUCAAAAGAAAAAAAAAACUAUAUUAUUUUUAGUGGAAGACAGAAAAUUAUGUCGUUCAGAAUUUCCUUUAAAAUUUUGAAAAUUUUGGGGAGCAAAAAGCAAAAAUUGGGGUACAAGUCAAUAGCCACUCCUAUGUUGUGUACAGAUAAGGAAAAAACCACUCCCUGUUACCUGUUCCGUUAAGAUUAUUCUUCUCAUUCACUUUGUAAUUUGACUUGUGUAACAAGCAAUAUCCUGACCGAAAUAAUGUUAACAUAUCAUUUAAAUUUUACUGGAUCAAACUUUUUAUAUCAAAAAUAGUAUGACGUAAAUUAAGUCUAAUUCGUACAGAAUUUUUAGUAUUUUUUUACAUAAAUUAAAAUUAAAAAUUAAAAAUAAUUAAUUUAAAUUUAAUUAUUAUACAAUUUUUUCAAAUAUACUUUUUUUUGUUUUUGUAAAUUAGUAGUCCGUGUGGUAGUUUUACGUCUUCUCCUGUCUAUUUUUUAUUUUUAGUAUUUACAUACAAAAAGUUACACCUAUGUGUAAUAUUGUUUUUUCAAAAGAAAUUAUUAUUAUUACUGGGAAAAGAGAGGCAUUUCAUCUCUUUCUAAAAAAAUUAAAUAAUGAAUAAAAUAAAAUAGAAAGUGACAGCAUAAAAAAAAUCUAACAAUAUAAAAGCAAUGAGAAGUUACUGUAGAUUCAAAAUUUAUAAGUUUAAGAAGUUAUUUAAGAAUAAAUUAUUCAAUAAAAAUGUCGCACUAAAUUGAGAUAUUAUUAAUUAGGGGAAAAAGAUAGUCCAUGUCUUUUUUAAUUUUUGAAAACUAAAAAUAAUAUUGGGUAGUUUUUAGGAUGUGAGUAAGGUGUGGGUUAGUUGAAGAGAAUAGUUACAAGAUUUUAUUUCUCUGAAAAGGUAAUUUUAGGAAUAAAAUGAAAAAAAGUGAACACACCAAUAUUUUAUUUCCUUUGUUGAUAAUACAGAUAUAUAUAGAUUAUUAUUAUUCCUUUUUCUUAAAAUAUUUAUUAUUAUUAUUAUUAUUAUUAUAUUUUUCUUUAAUAAGAAAGUACAAUAUAUGUUUUGGGAGACAGAAUAAUUGUUUGUGAAAUAUUAGAAAAAUAAAUUAUAUUAAAAAUAAAUAAUUGUUUGUGAAAUAUUACAGUUUGCAAAAUUUGGCAGACUUCCUUGCAGGUUAUCCUCCUGAGUAUUGUUUCUCACUCUUCCAACUUCGUUGCGAAUGUUAAUGCCAACUGGGAAAGGAACCUGUGUUGCUAGCAAAGUUAGUACCCAUUUUGUAGCUUCAUCUCUUGGUAAAAAGAGAAGUGCAAAUUUCAAAUGGCUUGCCAAGAUUCUAUAUUAUGCUUGAAGCAGGCAAGAAUACUAGCAGUGUAACUGAUAAAUGGAUUUUAGAGGAAAUUUACACCUGAUCACUGGCAUUAGGGCCAUCGGCGUUGAAGAGGAUAUAGGCUUGCAGUGCUUAUCCUCAUUCAUCAAGCUUGAAUUUUGGAAGUGAGCAAUGAGAGCUGCUUUCCCUUGUAUGCGAGCAUAUGCUAGUGAUGCCACUUUCUCACUGUUGAAUUUCUCCCAUUUCUUCCCAUUGAACACCUGCCAGAAAUGCAUCAUAAGUUAGUCUAUUAGUACAGUGUGUAUGCGUGUGUGUGUGUGUGAAUGUUAUGUGAUUAUAAGUUUAACAGCAAUCAUUUAAGCCAGGAUUGAUCAUGUUGAUGAAUGCAUAUCCCACAUUGCCAUUGUUCUGCAAUUAAUGUUAAUUCCAUAAAAGUCAAAAAUCCAAACUUGAGAACAGAUACGAAUUCACGCGAACACAAAAACCCACGAUUGAAGAGUGAAAAGGCAGAGGUGGCUUAAGACCCAAUCAAUCCAAGCAAAAGCUUAAGUCACAAAAAAAAAAAUCCCAAAAUUUGUUUUAGUACUGAUAUGCUUCAAAAAACAUUUUAUUGUAAAAUUAUAUUUGAAAAUAAAUUUUAAUUAAAAUAUUAUAAAUAAUAGUUAAUUUUUUAAUUCAUACUAAUAAUUAGAACAAAAACUCUUUAUUAAUAUCAUAAAUUUACUUAGAAAAAAGAAAUUGUAUGAUUAGAUAAAAGGCUUUUCAUUUAAGCCUUUAAGUCCUUGAGUCUUGAGCCGUUGCUCCUGAAAAGGGGUGACAUAAAGGAAGACACCGACCUUGUGGGAAAUGGAAGGGGUGAGAAUGAGUUAAAUAGUAUGGAAAGAGGUGAGAGAAAACGAAUGUGUUAUGUGGCGUGCAAGAUCCUCCAUCCAAAUCUUCUCACACCCUAUUAUCGUUCCCUGCAUUGCACGUUACUAACUCCUCUCACCUUCACUUUUUCUUCUUUGUGAACUUCAACGGAAUUUGGGAGGUCUCGCCGGAACUGUAAGUUUCCCGGUGAGCAGGGACGGAGAGAUGGUUUUUUUUUUUUUUCGUUUAUAACGGCGUCAAUACGGGUUCAAAGAGCAGCUGAUUAACCAUUAUCCACACUUGUUCAUUUAUCCAUGAGUACGGGUUGAAUUACACUUUGAUUAUGGAUGGAUUUUUUUUUACAUCUUUAAUAAAAAAAAUUAAGUGGGUUUUUUAAGUUUUUAUUUUUAUUUUUAUGGUGUCAUAUACAUAAUUUUGUUUUAAUAGUAAAAAUUUUUAGAAAAUUUCAUGUUAUUCACACUUUUAUUUAUUUAUUUUUCAUUUAAUUAUGAUGUUUUUAUGUGUUAGAGAAAUGUUAUUUUUAUUGUUAAAAAACAAUUUAUUAUCGAAGAUAUAAAUUUUAUUUUUAAGAAACGUUGGUGGUCACAUUAGAUGAAAAAAAAGGUACAAUAAACAAUAAUCAAUCUUUUUCACUAACAAAAUCCUUAAAAAAAUCCAAUGAAGAAGUGUAUUUAAUUGAAUUCUUUUAUUAUCUUUCUCUCCUAUUAUUAUUUUUUCUUAGAACAAAGUGUAAAAUAACAAGAAUGUUAACCAAUGUUAUUUAAUAAAUAAGAAACAAUAUAAUAUUUAAUAGUAUCGAUCUAUUUUUAUCAUAUUUUAAGAAAAAACUACUUGUUAAUUAACCCCCUUAAGCAUAUUCAAUAAAAUGAUCUUGAUUUCUACAUGGAUAAAAUACACAACGGAGCCCAAUUUUUAUUAUGUACGUCAGGUGCAAAAGUUAAUAGACAUAAAAAAACACAUUUUUGUUGUGUACUAUGCUUAUAUCCCUUAUACAAAACAAAUAAGUUAUAAUUUGUUCGAUGAAUAUAUGUUUUUUGUGUUUUAAGAAUGACUAAUCAUAUUAUUUAAUCCAGGUGUAAGUGGAUGAUCAAUUCAUGAUCCUGUCCAGUUCAAUUAAAUUAGAUUUUUAUGGAUUAUAUUGAAUUAUUAGAUUGGUUUUAAUUUAAUAAAACCAAUUAUGCUUGGAUUGAGUGAUAGGUUUGGAGUUUAAAAUUUAACCAAAACCCAACUCAAUUGAAUGUAACACAAUUUAAUGUUUUAUGAUUAUAGUUGAUUUAAGUAUUUUAGUUUUAUUUUGUAUACUACUUUUAGAAUUCUGGUUACCUCUAGUGUUUGGGAAAUAUUUACUCUAAUCAAGAUUUUUGUAACAUAUAAUAUUAAAGUUUACCUAGUUGUAGCCGUAUAUGAUAUCAAGUAUCAAUUCUUUGGGUUUGGAAAUUUUCAGCUAUAUGUAUCAGUCAGCACUCUAUAGAUCAGAGGCUUGCACCUAGAUGCUCUCAGUCAUGGAACGGAAAUGUUAGCCUAUAAAUGGGUAAUGGUAAAAUGAGUAGUAAAUUAACGAGAGAGUGGAGACCGGAGAGGGAGGUGUUGGAUACUUGCCAAACCUUCCUCCACCAUAUGAAAUUGCAAUGCCCGGAAAUACAUUCUUCCCCGAACCGAUUAUGAAUGGUACCAAUAAAAGCCAGUAUACUAUUUCACAAAGCAAAUUAUGAUUUUGUUUUUUCUUUACAAGAAUUACGAAUACAAAGACUAAUUCUGGGUUUUUCAUGAUUGGGACAAUAGUCGAUUUCCAAUAUAUCCUCAGAGUUAAUGAGUAAAAUUCCUUUGCAUACCGUCUUUAAUUCUGGUAACCAGCGUAGUAGCAAUUUGGUUAACUUGGGAAGUGCAAUGUUGUCGGAACUAUCUCCUGCAAAUAUCUCCUUUAUUGAUUCGCAGUCCGAUACCGAUAUAGACUCCAGGUUUUGAAGUUGUGGCACUAACCCUGGCGUCAGCAACUUCUCGAUCUGAUGGCAUCCAUCGAUACUCAAUUCCUUGAGAUGAGAAAACACCCCCCUCCGAGAUAAAGAUUGUGUUAAACCAGCAACAUCUUCCUUGCAGAUGACACUUAAACGAUCCAAAUUAUUAAGUUUCAAAGAUUUGAGGUUUUGGAUAUUAGUGCAUAAGGAACAAGAUACACAGAAUAAACUCUUCAAUUUUGUGCAGUAUCCAAUGUCAAUGUCCUUGAAAGAUAGAGAACCAUUAGAUGACAGAGCAGCACAUAAGCAUUCCCAUUGAUGAUUACCACUUACAAGUAAUUCCGCAAGGUCUCUUGGCAGUAAAUAGGGUAAUUCAUCGCAAUCUCCAAAACAUACCCUUCGACGCUUGAAUUCAAGACAAAGAUAAAUAGGAUUCUCAGAAAAUCCAAGUGUGUAAUCAUCAAAUUUUCCAAAAUAGAUAAAAUAGGUUUGAGGUCCAUAACCAGUGUCCUGAAUUUCUUGCACAUAACGGUUGUAGCAAUCCUGAUCGAGAAAGCUUACUGCAAAACAUUCAAGCAUAGUCAUCCCUUUUACAUCUUCUACUUUUAUACCUGACCAACCCCGGAGAUCCAGAUAUUGCAUAUUGCUCAAACCGGGCAGUGCGCAUCCGGGUAACAAUGAUAAAUACAAAUCGCGGGAAAGAUUAAGGCAUUGCAACUUUUUUAGAUUUUGCAAGCCUUCCGGUACCCUGAGGAGCGAAUCACAACCUGAAAUGUCCAAUCUUGACAAUGCUUGUAGAUCUCCCAGUGGAGGUAUAUCUUUCAAUUUUGAACAUUGACGGAGCACUAAAGAAGUAAGAGACCUCAACUUAGACAGAGACUUUGGCAAAGAUGUUAACUCAUAAUUAUAUGAUAAAUCAAGUAGUGUUAGAGCAUUCAUGUGUCUGAAAAAACACUUGGGAAUAUGACUGAUCAAAUUAUGAGAUAAAAUCAAGGUGGACAAGCCUGGACAAUUAGGUGAUGUGCCCUCUGCUAUUUCUUCUAUCUCAUUACCCGCCAAAGAAACUGCCUCCAGAUCAGCUGUCCAUUCCCGCAUCUGAGGUAUCUUUCUCAAAUUUUCAUCACAUUUUAUCAUGUAAGUGUGAUUCUCGUUCAAGAUAUGGCACGCCAUCUUCCUCACCAGACCAUGCAUUCGUAAACUCCCACGAUCUAACAACAAAGAAUGGUUAAUGAGUUUAUCCAUUAUGACGCGUCCCUCAUCAAAUGUUUCCUCCAAACUCCUCUUUCCAUUUAACAACCCACUCUCAACAACCAUCGUAACCCAUUCCUCUUUCCUAAUAAUAGUAGGAAACAGUGCAGACCGUAAGAAACAUUUUUGGAUGUCCUUUUCAAUUAAAUUGUCAUAGCUACGUUUUAGUACGCUUAAGACCUCUUCUCCCAUUUCCAAUCUGUCAAGUUUAUUCAAUGCAUGUCUCCACCAAUGGAUCUCAUUUUUCCCUUUCAUGGUUCGAGCCAUCACACUGAUUCCAAGUGGUAAACCAUCACAUUUCAUUACAACAGAUCUUGCAAUCUCUAGCACAUGAGGGGAAAGUCUUGCAGGUGUUCCACGGUGCCCAAGUUUUAGCAAAAAUAAUUCCCAAGCUUCUUCUUCUUCUUCUUCUGUUAUUAUAUUAAGGGGUAUUGUUAUUAUAUUAUUUGGUAGGCAAUCCAUCUGUAGACACACAUGUUUCAAACGAGUUGUGAUAAUCAAUUUAAUGCCAUUCACUUUAAGAGGAAUCCCCACCUUUUGCAGAUCAAUAUAAUCCCAAACAUCAUCCAAAAUAAGCAGUGUUUUUUCUCUUUUCUCCAACUCUGACGUCAAAAUUGUUGCUCUAGUCAUCUCAUCUCCGUAAAGCUUAACCUGUAUUGUUUCUGCAAUGUCAUGUUGCAAUUUGAAAGUGGUGAAAUCAUCGGAAACAGUGACCCAGAAGACAUCCUUGAAAGUCCCCUUUCUUUUAAUCUCAUUCUUGAUAUGAGUUGCCAUGAAUGUUUUUCCAACUCCCCCCAUUCCAUCUAUGCCAAUAAUGAAGACUUCCUCAUCCUCCAGAAGAUCCCACAUCUUCUUCACAUUUUUAUCUCGCAACCCCCAAGGCUUCUGUAUCAAUAAUACAUCAAACUCAAUAUCCAAUUCAGAAGGCUCAUCCAAUUCAUUAGUCGACCCAGACUGAUGCAGUGAGUUUUUCACAUCAAUAGCUCUUUUUUUAAGGUCCUUUAGUUUAUCCAACCAAUCGUCAUCUUGUCUCUUGCGCUUAUUGCCCUGGAACUCCCGCCAAUGUAACCAGUCUUCUUCCCUUGUUAGUUUGGAUAACAACUGAUUUAUAGUCAAAGCAUCGUCACCAUUGCUACCUCCGUUCACAGUAUGAUCUUCUACAUCACCUGUUUCAUUGUUUUGGUUAUGCUACAUUCUUAAAUUUUUCUGUUGCUCCUUCACUGUAGAAUAACACAACUCUCCCGUGUGUUUUAAUAAUGAGUCUUUAGACAGAAAAUUUUAUUUUUAAAUUGAUUUACAAUAUAUUACGUCAAAAUAAUUUUUUUAGAAUUAUAUUAAAUUAAAAGAAUUUCAAACUCACACAUAACAAAAAGAAUUAUUUUACCCAAAUAAAGAAUAUAUUAAAAAACGGAAAGGAAUUAAUUUAACUGAAAUAAUUAAUUUUUCAUGUGUUUUAACUUUUUUCAAUGAAGGUGGAAUCUAAGUAAAAAAAAAUGUAACCAAUCAUAUAUAUAUAUAUAUAUAUGAAAGUGCUUUAUAGCACCAAUAUAUAUUGGAAUGUAAUAAAUUUACUUUUUCAUGUCACGCUAACGGUAAGAAAUAAAAAUUGAACUUAGUUUAAUAUUCAAAGGAAUGUUAAGCACUAACAACUUUCUUGUGUGAAAUGAUAAAACUGAUUAUUGAGAAUUAAAAAAAAAUCUAUAUGUGUUGUAUCACCUAAAUAAAAUAAUAAAAGGCGCAUCCGUGUGAAGAAGGAAAAGAGCAUAAUGGAAUUGGUGAGGGUAAGAUUUAAGAACAUAUUGGAAUGGCAACUAGAAUGCGUACCUCCUAAUAAAGCAGCUGACAAUUUUGUACUGUUUUGAGGGUUAACUGAACCACCAACAAUCAUUUUAUUGUCUCCUUCAGCCGCUUCAAUGCAACAAAAGAUAUAGACAAAACAAAAUAUAGUCACCAUCUUCAAACUUCAACAAAAGUAAAAAAUAAAAAUGUCAAAUAGUAACAUACUAAUACUAUUAAUGCUAACUUAAUAUCUUAAAGAUGAUAGGGUACUUAUAAUAAUGCUAACAAUUAAGGAAAGUUUGAUAGGGCAAAUCUUUCUCUCUCACACACAAACUAUAAAAUUGAGGAUUUUAAAAUAAAAAUCAAACUUUGUUAUAUCACCUAAGAAAUAAAAAAACACAAGUGUAAAGAGCAGGAAAUGAACACAACUAAUUAAUUGGUAAGUAAACAGAUUCAUACCUAUUAAUAGUUUCUGUAUAUGAGAUCGUUUCAGAGGAGCAUCUGGUGGAGGGAACCAAUAACUGAACUUGCUUAUCAUGGAACGGUUGAAGUUGAUUGGAGCUUGUUCCAGAAAACGUUCCACAUAGUGGAGCAAAAAGAUGCCACAAUCGUAUGCAUUUUGUUGCUGAGGCAGCUCAAGUGGCACGAAUGGAAGAUGUAAAAAUAUAGAAGAAACAUCAUCAUCCCUCACAUUGUUGUGCCUCUCUUUCCAUUCUUCACAUAGAUAACUUUGGAAAACAUUGUGGAGAUCUUGAUGAAUUCCUUUUCGGGAAUCCAUGUGCAAGAUGCAAGCUUCUUUGGGAGAUCCCUUAGUUUCUUCAUCUCUGUAGCAUGUCAUGACUUCAGCAGGGUGACAAAUGACAAUCAAACUCCAGUGAAGACUAUAGUUUAUGGGAAUGAAGAUAUAAUCCGUUUUAAAAAGGUUCACUUUUCUUGUCAAUUUGCUUACACGCUGAAAUGCUGCUUUACCAUCAGAAGCAAUUGAUGGAUUAUCUGUGCUUAAAUCAACAAGCUUAGGAAAGAAAAAGCAAUUGAAAAAGUGAAACCUGUCCUGUUUAUCAGUUGGGAGUUUAUUUUUCAAAUAAUUGAUAUAAAAGUCAAUGAUAUUAUCAUUAAGGCAUUUCUCAGGCUGUAAAAGCUCAAUAUCGCUAUUUCUGAUACAAACAGCAUCAGGGUCCCCCUUUGGAUAAAAAAACGCCUUUUCAAAUGCAGCAGAAUCAUGCUCCACUAUCUGGUCUCCCAAGUUAAUUUCAUCUUCUGAGGGAUUGAAGUUGAAGUAGAAAUCAAAGAAAAUGUUAGACUUAGAUUUUUUUUUAUGAGGGAAGAAAGAAAUAAAAUAUAAGUAACUACUGUCUAACAUAAGUAACACUGCGCCUAAAGAAUCUUGAAUUUAGACAUCUCGUUAUAAAAUUACUUUUAAAUAAGUUAAUAUGAAUGUUAUUUUAAACCUUAAAAUAAACAUACAUUUUAUAAAUAUGAUAGAGUUGACUAUUAUAAAACAAUUUAUAAAUUUCCAACUUUAUUUCAUUUUCAAUAAUUUUGUUUUCAU